rnacentral:rRNA from 1 species
GACGAACGCUGGCGGCGUGCUUAACACAUGCAAGUCGAACGGAAAGGCCCUGCUUGCAGGGUACUCGAGUGGCGAACGGGUGAGUAACACGUGGGUGAUCUGCCCUGCACUUCGGGAUAAGCUUGGGAAACUGGGUCUAAUACCGGAUAGGAACCAUCUUUAGUGUGGUGGUUGGAAAGUUUUUUCGGUGUAGGAUGAGCUCGCGGCCUAUCAGCUUGUUGGUGGGGUAAUGGCCUACCAAGGCGGCGACGGGUAGCCGGCCUGAGAGGGUGUACGGCCACAUUGGGACUGAGAUACGGCCCAGACUCCUACGGGAGGCAGCAGUGGGGAAUAUUGCACAAUGGGCGCAAGCCUGAUGCAGCGACGCCGCGUGGGGGAUGAAGGCCUUCGGGUUGUAAACUCCUUUCGCUAGGGACGAAGCUUUUUGUGACGGUACCAAGAUAAGAAGCACCGGCUAACUACGU